AUUAAGGUAAAUUAUGAAACUUCGUUUGAUUAAUUAGGUGCAGUGAUUGUGAGACUUGUUUAUUACUGUGAAACUGACAUUUCAAGUAUCUAUUAUGAUUUUAAUUCUGGGUGCUAGGGUUGCGCAUCUACUGUAAAGUGUGAGUGUGAGUUUAGAUUAAUUUUGGGUGCUAGGGUUUCUCAACUACUUUAAGUUAAGAUUACUGUUAUUAAAUUAUAACAAUUGUAGUUGAAGAGUUUAUUUCAAAUUUUCAGUUCUGAUAUAUACUGUGAGUUAUGCAUAGGGCUGUGCAGUUUUCGGUGUGA
rnacentral:misc_RNA from 1 species